AAAAAGGUCGAGAAAUGUAGCUGCUGAAACUUCUCAAAGCGAUUCAAUCAAGGAGAAAUCAAAUCCAUCCCUGCUCAAAAAUUCAAGCAAGUUUACUGAUCUGAAACUCACUGUAACCAUGAUGAAAAACAACCAGUCCAAGUUGUCCUACAAUCAAACAGUACCAAUGGAAGGUGUGGAGAUGGAGGAUGUUGAAGUAGAACCAGCUAUUGAGGAAGAAAUUGCACUGAUUAAUAAUAUGGGGGCUGCUAAUCAGGUUCCUUCAUCGGAUGCAAACUAAAAGCCGACUCAGUGAGGAAUGCGGAAGAAGAUGAAAGUCUAGCAUUACUAGAGGCAGUGUCAUGGGAAAAAGCUAAAAGACUUGAGAAAGUGUGUGUUAUCAGUGAUGCUAAAACAAUAAUAGAUGCUUUUAAUUCCUCUAGCAAUCAAAUAUUUUGGUAUAAUAAAUCAGUCUUAGAAGACCGUAAAACAAUUAGUUAUUGUUUUCAUUUGGUUAAGUUUGAAUUUCUUAAAAGAAACCAUAUAAUUUUAGUUGAUCAA